GACCAGACUGCUGUUGGAGUUCGACUAAGCCAUGCAAGUCUUCCGGAAGGAGGCGAAAGGCUGAGUAACACGUAGGUAACCUACCUUAUGGAGGGGCAUACCCUCGGGAAACUGAGGAUAAUUCCCCAUAGGAUUUGGUGACUGGAAUGUCCCAAAACCCAAAGCUUCGGCGCCAUAAGAUGGGCCUGCGGCCUAUCAGGUUGUUGGCGGGGUAAUGGCCCACCAAGCCUUUGACGGGUAGGGGCAGUGAGAGCUGAAGCCCCCAGACGGGCACUGAGAUACUGGCCCGAGCCUUACGGGGUGCAGCAGGCGCGAAACCUUUACAAUGCACGCAAGUGUGAUAAGGGAACUCCAAGUGCCAUUGCUUUUUGCGAUGGCUUUUUUUGAGUGUAAAUAGCUCUAAGAAUAAGAGCUGGGUAAGACAGGUGCCAGCAGCCGCGGUAAUACCUGCAGCUCAAGUGGUCUGGAUUUUUAUUGGGUCUAAAGCGUUUGUAGCCGGACUCGCAAGUCUUCUGUGAAAUCUGACGGCUUAACCGUCAGGCGUGCAGGGGAAACUACAAGUCUAGGGACCGGGAAGGGCCAAAGAUACUCUAGGGGUAGGGGGUGAAAUCCAAUAAUCCUUAGGGGAUCGCCAGUGGCGAAGGCGUUUGGCUAGAACGGGUCCGACGGUGAGGGACGAAAGCUAGGGGAGCGAACGGGAUUAGAUACCCCGGUAGUCCUAGCCGUAAAUGAUGUGGACUAGGUGUUGCAUUCCCCUUGUGGGAAUGCAGUGCCGAAGGGAAGCCGUUAAGUUCACCACCUGGGAAGUACGGUCGCAAGGCCGAAACUUAAAGGAAUUGACGGGGGAGCACAACAAGGGGGUGGAGUCUGCGGUUUAAUUGGAUUCAACGC
rnacentral:rRNA from 1 species